rnacentral:rRNA from 1 species
GAUGAACGCUGGCGGCGUGCCUAAUACAUGCAAGUCGAGCGAACGGACGAGGAGCUUGCUUUUCUGAUGUUAGCGGCGGACGGGUGAGUCACACGUGUAUAACCUACCUAUAAUACUGGGAUAACUUCGGGACACCGGAGCUAAUACCGGAUAAUAUUUUGAACCGCAGUGUUCAAAAGUGAAAGACGGUCUUGCUGUCACUUAUAGAUGGAUCCGCGCUGCAUUAGCUAGUUGGUAAGGUAACGGCUUACCACGGCAACGAUGCAUAGCCGACCUGAGAGGGUGAUAGGCCACACUGGAGCUGAGACACGGUCAAGACUCCUACGGGAGGCAGCAGUAGGGAAUCUUACGCAAUGGGCGAAAGCCUGACGGAGCAACGCCGAGUGAGUGAUGGAGGUCUCCGGAUCGUAAUACUCUGUUACUAGGGAAGAACAUAUGUGUAAGUAACUGUGCACAUAUUGACGGUACCUAAUAAGAAAGCCCCGGCUAACUACGUG